rnacentral:rRNA from 1 species
GCCUACGGCCAUACCACCCUGAGAACGCCCGAUCUCGUCUGAUGUCGGAAGCUAAGCAGGGUCGGGCCUGGUUAGUACUUGGAUGGGAGACCGCCUGGGAAUACCAGGUGCUGUAAGCU